CCUACGGGUGGCAGCAGUGAGGAAUAUUGGUCAAUGGUCGGGAGACUGAACCAGCCAAGCCGCGUGAGGGAGGAAGGUACAGAGUAUCGUAAACCUCUUUUGUCAGGGAACAAAGGCGGGGACGUGUCCCCGGAUGAGUGUACCUGAAGAAAAAGCAUCGGCUAACUCCGUGCCAGCAGCCGCGGUACUACGGAGGAUGCGAGCGUUAUCCGGAUUUAUUGGGUUUAAAGGGUGCGCAGGCGGGCUGUUAAGUCAGCGGUAAAAGCCCGGGGUGCAACCCCGGCCCGCCGUUGAAACUGGCAGUCUCGAGUUGGAGAGAAGUAUGCGGAAUGCGCGGUGUAGCGGUGAAAUGCAUAGAUAUCGCGCAGAACUCCGAUUGCGAAGGCAGCAUGCCGGCUCCACACUGACGCUGAGGCACGAAAGCGUGGGUAUCGAACAGGAUUAGAUACCCGAGUAGUC
rnacentral:rRNA from 1 species